AUCUGCACGAAUAAAAACACAUCCCAAGCUAUAUUAAGUGGCAAGCAAGUGUUGAAAAGAAAUAUUAAGAUUUCCAGUCCUGUUGAAAAGAAAUAUUAAGAUUUCCAGUCCUGUUGAAAAGAAAUAUUAAGAUUUCCAGUCCUGUUGAAAAGAGAUAUUAAGAUUUCCAGUCCUGUUGAGAUAAUAAAUGAUCUAUUGCAAUAAUAAUUAGUCAUAUACAAAGCAACAUAAGGUCUAGGUCGCAAGCAAGGCUAGACAUAACACACAAGGUCAAAUUAUUCAGCAAGGCAUAAUACACAAGGUCAAGUUAUUCAACAAGACAACACACAAGGUCAAGUUAUUCAACAAGGCAUAACACACAAAGUCAAAUUAUUUAGCAAGGCAUAAUACACAAGGUCAAGUUAUUCAACAAGGCAAAAUACACAAGGUCAAGUUAUUCAACAAGGCAUAACACACAAAGUCAAGUUAUUUAACAAGACAUAAUACACAAGGUCAAGUUAUUCAACAAGUAACACACAAUGUCAAGUUAUUCAACAAGGCAUAACACACAAAGUCAAGUUAUUUAACAAGACAUAAUACACAAGGUCAAGUUAUUCAACAAGACAUAACACACAAAGUCAAGUUAUUUAACAAGACAUAAUACACAAGGUCAAGUUAUACAACAAGACAUAACACAUAAGGUCUAGACAUCCAACUAGACAUAAUACACAAGGGCUAGUUAUCCAACUAGACAUAUCACACAAGGGCUAGUUAUCCAACUAGACAUAUCACACAAGGGCUAGUUAUCCAACUAGACAUAUCACACAAGGGCUAGUUAUCCAACUAGACAUAACACAUAAGGGCUAGUUAUCCAACUAGACAUAACACAUAAGGGCUAGUUAUCCAACUAGACAUAACACAUAAGGGCUAGUUAUCCAACUAGACAUAACACACAAGGGCUAGUUAUCCAACUAGACAUAACACACAAGGGCUAGUUAUCCAACUAGACAUAAUACACAAGGGCUAGUUAUCCAACUAGACAUAACACACAAGGGCUAGUUAUCCAACUAGACAUAAUACACAAGGGCUAGUUAUCCAACUAGACAUAUCACACAAGGGCUAGUUAUCCAACUAGACAUAACACACAAGGGCUAGUUAUCCAACUAGACAUAACACAUAAGGGCUAGUUAUCCAACUAGACAUAACACACAAGGGCUAGUUAUCCAACUAGACAUAACACACAAGGGCUAGUUAUCCAACUAGACAUCUGACCUAUUUUUAUGAUAUCUUUGAUUGCUUAUGAGCUUAUUUUUUUUUUCUUUAUUAUUGAUUUAAUUUAUUUUAAUUGUAUAAUUCUUUAUUAUUUAAUUUGAUUAUUUGUAAUGUUGAUUUUAAAUUUGUAUAGUUAUGCAUAUAAUUUGUAGUAAUUAUGAUUUUAUUUUUUAAAUGUCUCGAUACUGUAUCAAAACUGGGGAGGAGCGAGACAACCCCAACACAAGUGUUAUUAACCACUUUCAGGGGCUCUUUUGAGCACUUGAGACAUAAUACACAAUGUCUAGACUUCAAGCAAGGUUAAACAUGGCACACAAUGUCUAGUUAUCCAACUAGACAUAAUACACAAGGUCUAGACUUCAAGCAAGGUUAAACAUGGCACACAAUGUCUAGUUAUCCAACUAGACAUAAUACAUAAAGUCUAGUAAUUCAACAAAACCAGACACAACACAAGGUCUAGGUUUUAAGCAAGACUAGACAUAACACAAGGCCUAGUUAUUCAACAAAACUAGCAAUGGUUAGCCAUUCAGCAAGUACUCACAUGCAAAGAAAGCAGCACACUCAUCAGGAGUCCAUUCACCAUUCCAGGGCACUAUGAACUGCACCACAGCAAAGUUACCUUUCCAUAAGCCCCAGCAACAAGUUUCAACUCGUUUCGGUC